GCUGCUGGCUGCAAGCCAGGGUGCGCAGCCCCUGGCUGUGUGCAAUAGCAGAUGCCUGUGGCGCAUACGUGUAGAUUGAGCUAUUUCUGCACGUCCUCGCAAGCCCCCCUCCCCAAAGAGAAGACACUUUGAACGCCCCAAAUGUGAUAAUCAGCCAUCAAAACUGAAUCAGGGUUAAAAAUCCGCACAACUCCAGAAACUUCCCAAGCCUAGCCUUCGGGCCGAGUGAGGAGCGUCACUACUGCGUAACUCUGGGUCUCCUGGAGGUUCCUCCAGCCAGUGUCCGUUUGUGGCUAGACCUUCGAUACCACUAGGGACCCUGGGCCAAGUGUGGUCUCCAGAGGCAACUUGUCACGCACGUCACUUUCUGUGCGGGAGGGGGAGGAUUUGCUGAGAACUGAGUUUCGAUUCUGGAAACCUCGAGAAGUGCUGGGGAAGUCGGGUGCCAGCCAGCCUUAGUGCGCAGCUAGCUGCUGCGCGCGAGCGGGGCGGGCCCGCGUCACCCACCCCACUGCUCCGCGGGCGCGCGUGGCCAACCGGCGGGGUCGCGGAGCGCAACCCCAGCAGUGCACGAAAGCGGCCGCCAGGGUGGCGAUCCUUCGGGGCGCAGACCUAGGAGGGGAAGCGCGUUCCUCUCAGCCUCUAAAGUUCUCAGUUCUAAAGUGAAUCAAAAUGUCAGCGAUCUAGGACGUGUCCAACCAUGAACGCUGCCUAGCAACACAUUUCAUAUAUAUGAAAGUGUGUGCGUACGUGUGUGUGACAAUACCACUGUGCAGCUCAGACUAAUCUGAAAUUCAACAUCCUCCUGAGUGAUAUGGUUACAUCUGUGAGCCACUACUUCCAACCUGAGCUCUCUCCACAUACCUCACAGCCUCCAAGUCAAGACGAAGGUAUUCCGUGCCAUAGAGACUUGGAAACAAAGGGAUUAAGAGGCACCAACCAUGUCACUUUCCUUGUGAAGACAAGCAUCCAUGAACCUAGAUUUGGCAGUGACAGCAGAUUAAAGAAGUGAUUCUACCCAAGUCUACCUUAGUAAGCCAGUGAGUGUACUGGAGUUACUUGGAAGAAUGUGGGUGAGAUGUCACUCACAGGAGGAGCUUGGAUAACUCAAAGGCAGCAGUGUCGUUGAAAACCCCAACAAGCAUGGAACUCAUGGAAGCUUCAUCCGUGGAUCACACUCUUCCCAGGGAGAUGUGGACAAGCAUCUACUCAGCCCAGAUAGGGAAAUGAUGGAAGACUGAAGUACCGACACCACCCAGUUCAACCUGGUGAACCAGUGAGUUUUACUAGGGGAGUUGCUUGCAGGAAUAUGGGCGAGGAGCUAUUUACAGGAGCAGAAUGAGUUAAAGACCUCCGUGUCAUCAAAAGCCCACCCCAGCAUGGAUGACAGUUUUCCAGAAAAGAAAAGAAAAAAAAACCAAAAAAACAGAAACGUGGAAUGUAUUGCACAGCCUACAGGCAGCUUAGCAGGCUGGACAGUGUCUUUGCAGGCAGCUUAGGUUGAUCUGAGCCUCUUCUAGGAGGCUUGCCUGAUCACUGUUUCAAGGCACUUCAGCUGAAUGGAGCCUCUUCUACAAAGCUCCACUUGUCAGAGAGUCACUUUCAGCUGUCUGUUCUGCUUAUAUACUUUGGGGUGAUGGGGGGUUGGUGGCUAUUGAAUCGUGUCUAGUGGCAAAACCCAGAGAAGUGGUUACGCAACAAACACAGCAUACAAGCUCAGUUCUCUUUUGCUCCCUCCUUCAGCCCGCCCCACAGCGAGGUGAUGAAAUAACAUUGAUGGGGUUAAGAAAUCUUGUUAGGCUGUUCAAUAAUCUGCUUAUGUUACUAUAUUAUUAUUUGGCUCCAAACAGCCACUGACUAGCUGUGUGAUGUGGGUCAAAUAAACUAGUUUUCCAAGCAUGACAAUCAUCCACAAAAUGGAAAAGUAAAAUUGCGUUUGUAGAGUUAUGUAAAAGAGUAAUUUGAUCACACACAUGCUUGCACACAUACACAUACAAACAUAUAUAAGGUACUGUGGGUGAUGAAGAUAUCGCAGCGGACAUUAUUGACUGUGUUUCAAGUGAUUAUGGCAGGAAAGAAAGAAGAAGGGAAAUGUGAAUGAUCCAGGCACACCAAACAUGUCCUGGGGUGCUGAGCUCCAUAAAUGCUAAAAGGGAAGCUGCUGGGUUUAGUCUCACGUGGCUCAGAGGCCCCUGGAAGCACUGCAGUCAAAGUAGUCCAUAGACGGACUGUGUUAGUAGACAUGAGACUUUCAGGAGGAAGCAAGAAUUCCUGCACGGCUCAGGUUUUCUCCAGACGGCUCGACCUCUGACGUUUCAUGACAUUUGGAGUGUGCUUGCCUCAGACUGCUUGAUAUUUGAGAAAGAACAUCAAGUCACACUUGAUAACAGGCAUAAGAAGCUUACAGGGCACCCAACAGGUAGUUGGAGCUCUAUAAUGAGUUGUCAAAAUGCUGCUAAGGUUACAUAUCCUGAGGCCUUGGACACCGAUGCCAGGACCAACAGUGUGUUCUGUGUACCCCGAGACACCAGGCAAUGUGGCAUGCCAGAGUAUUUGUUUUUUUAAACCAGGACUUGUCUCUGAAACUAGACCACUCUAGGCUCCAGAGCUUAGCUCUAAGUGCAAACGGCCGGACAAGAGUGAGGGUAUUCUAAAAAUAAGACCGGCAAACUUAAAAUGCUGGACUCCCAAAGAAUAGGACUUUCCCCAGGAAUCUCAAUAUGGGAGAAGAAAAAGGUACCAGCUAAAAGAGGAACUUGUCUCAGGAAAGGAGAUUUCACACAGAUCUAACAUGCCAGGCUACCUUACAGGAUGAGGCCGAAGCCCAGAAAACAAUGGGUCAAGGCUGGAUGACAUCACACCUUGUCUGGGACUGUUUAAAUGUGUGUAUCCUUGGCCUGCUAUUUAUUUUAUAUAUAUAAUUUUACAAUACCAUUCAGUUCUACAUAUCAGCCAUGGGUUCCCCUA